rnacentral:piRNA from 1 species
CCAUAGCUCAGGAACCUAUUAGCAGACACC